ACACCAGCAGAGUCAGCUUCAUGGCAACAGAAUAAACUCAGGAGUCUUUAUGAUGGAGACUGAACGAUAAGCAGUGAUUAAAUAACAUGAUCUUUGCUCUUGACUGUUUAUUAUUGUUGGUAUUUUUAUGGUUUAUGGAUCAGAUAAAAAAGUCAAAAAGUCAACCGCCACCCACCACCUCCUUCCUGCCCUUUUAUAUAAACUAUCAUCUCUUUAAAGCUUAUUACUUCAAUGACUGUAAACAAUAGAGAAGCAACGAUUUACUUUUCCCACAGUUCAGUUCAAACCUCGAUUUUUUUCUGUUCAAUAUGUGAUUUGUGGAUUACAAAAAUACACAAACCUAAAAAUUCAGAAAAUGUCUUAUUUUAUAAGGCAGUGAAGGAAACCCUUUCAGUUAAACUAAACGCAGUGUAAUAAAACACAACACAAGUUUCAUUUCCUCAUGACUCAGCUCAACCGCUUAAACUGAUCAUCAGGACUUUGGGGUUUGUAAGUGACCAACCGAUUCCCCUGAAACCGUAUCGAGUCAGUCUCUGUUCUGAGAAUCCCGCCGCAACAGAGAGAAUCAACCAUCAUGUCAUGGCAGCAGCUGCCCUGCUGCUAAUCAUCUGAUUCCCUCCACCUGUGCCUGCUCCUAUAAAGCUCUGCCUCUGCCUUUCACUCUUGCUGGAUCGUUGCACUGCAAGCACUCAGAAGACUCACCUGCUCUGUUUGUUGCCAGCAAAAUCCUGUUCUGCUGACCACUCCGUUCAUCUCCAAGCCAGCAUACUCGGCCUGUGUUCCUGCCUCUGCUCUCAGCCAAAUCCUGUUCUGCCUGCCUGCCCAACUCAAGCCAGCCUGUGUUCCUGCCUCUGUUCUAGUCCUCAUGGUGCCUGAUUCUGUCUGCUCCUGUCUCUCUGCUGCAUCAUUUCACCCCAAGCCUCGUAAGUCCCCUCAACUUUGAUUUUUGGAGCUUUUCCCAGAGAUCUCUGGUGAUUAUUAUUUGGAUUGGAAAACAAGUUUGUCACUGAACCCCAACUUCCUGAGUUUACUGCGCCCUCCUGGCUUUCCCUCUCCUCAUUACCAUUUGUCUGGAGCCACGCCCUCCCUUGCUCUUCAGAGGACUCCACUCCAUCCCUGCAGUCUGUUCUCCUCAUCCCAUGUCCGUGCAUUGGCUGCGUUGUUCGACGCCAGGGGGUCCUCCAAGACAAAGAAUUAAUAAAUCUGGUUUCUUGAA